rnacentral:rRNA from 1 species
GGGGUGAGUAACACGUGGAUAACCUACCUAUAAGACUGGGAUAACUUCGGGAAACCGGAGCUAAUACCGGAUAAUAUAUUGAACUGCAUGGUUCAAUAGUGAAAGACGGUUUUGCUGUCACUUAUAGAUGGAUCCGCGCCGCAUUAGCUAGUUGGUAAGGUAACGGCUUACCAAGGCAACGAUGCGUAGCCGACCUGAGAGGGUGAUCGGCCACACUGGAACUGAGACACGGUCCAG